rnacentral:tRNA from 1 species
GCCUGGGUGGCUCAGUUGGUUGAGCGUCUGACUCUUGGUUUCGGCUCAGGUCAUGAUCUCAUGGUUCCGUGGGUUCAAGCCCCGCGUCGGGCU